rnacentral:lncRNA from 1 species
AACUACAUUAAGAUAAAGAAAUAUAAUGUCAUACUCAAUGUAUUUGGAUUGAGUAAUGUUUCGUGAAAGAACUGAUAACCUAUAUAGAGAUUUAUAUAAAUAAUAUAUGGUAAUUUAAUUCAACUAAAAUUUGGAAAUUUUGUUGAUGAGAUAUUAGAAGAAUGAGUCGCAAGGUUAUCAAGAGUUGUAUACGUGAUUCUCCAUACAGAUUUUGUUUUAAGAAGUGAAGGGUUGUAAUUAUGGACAGUACCAAUGCAUUUAUAGCUCCAGCUUUGAAGUUGGUGUGAUAGUGAGGUCUCUUUUCACGAGCCAUAUACACUAAGGUUGGCAAAGUACACCCAUCUACGUCCUUUGACCCUUCUGACUCCUUUUUAUGCAUCAAAAUCUGUUAACACAAUCAAACAUGCAUCAAACUUUCUGCACAUUUCAAACACAUACUUUUACAAAACAAAAAGUUUAGAAAUUUAUGUACUUGAAGGAUAGUAUCGUGAUCACGUGGAGAGGAAUACGAAUCCCAUUGGGAAAAACCAUUAUGCUUUGACCGUGCUUCACUGGGUACACCCAACUUUGUUGCUUCUUCUACUCUCCUUUUCAUUUCUUCGUAUAAUUUCUACACAUAAAAUGCAACUGAGUCUUCAAAAUACAUGUUGAACAAGUGAAAUGAAAGUGAAAAGAUGAUUAAUAUAGGUGCAUACAUGGAUGGUUGCCAAGUGUUUGACAUAGUUAUGGUCCUGUGAUUUUGUUGAGUCAACACUGUUAAAAUAUGCAGCAGGUGACCUUGGUUCCACCUUAUAUCUCUUGCAGAACGGAAUCCAAUGCUUGGCAAAGGAAGAAGCUUCUAAAAGAGCAUAAAAGGUUACAUCUGAGCCUCCAUCAUCUGAGAGAUACACGCUCAACUUCUCAGCUGCAUAGUCAUAAGCCAUCACAGAUAACACUGUAUUGAUCACCAUCAUCGGUGGCUCCACCACUGCAUCUGCCGUGAACACAAAGAUGUCCACUCCCGGGAACCUACUCUCAUAUCUGCCAAAUUGAAAUUCACACACACAUAAUCCUAAAUCAGUACUUAAGUUGGAACAUCCACGUUUCAAAUGAUCUAGAAGAUGAGUGAAGUAAAGGUGGCAAAGAUGAACCUCGAAGAGAGUCUGUUGGGGAAGGUUGUUCUGUAGACAAUGUUCCAUCGAAGGGCUUGAUAAAAAACCCAAUAGAUACCCCCCCACACUUCUGCAACAAACAAACCAAGCCAAGCCCAUUGGCCAGCUUCUCCUUUUGCAGGUAUGUGAGUGAGUCUGAAUGCCCAGACGAAGCAUAUGGCAACAAACAAAGAGACAGCAUAGAGCCUCCGAAUGUACCUUGCUUUGUCUUUCCUUGUUUCAAACAAUGACUUCUCUUCACCACUCCCCAUUGUGCCUUCUAACUCACUCCUCUCUCUUCUUGCUCUGCAUCUUCACUUCACUUUCUUAUAUAGCUACAAAAUCAAUGAUCUUCCAUGAGCUACUGAUGUCAUUUUGGAAUGGUUUUUGAGUUAAUCCUCUUUCUUAUACAGCCACAAAUUAUCUCUAAUCAUGCAUGCUACCUCGAAGACUCCAAAGCAAAAGCCAAAAGCAACUGACGAGUGCACUGACGAAACCAGACCAAUAUUUCUACAUUAACUUGGACCAAAUCAUACUUAUUUUGUUUUCGUAACCAAACUUGUUUAACUUAAUUGAUGUUUCGAAACAAACGUAUGUUUGAUUGAUUUUUAUGGUUAGUUUAGUAAUUUUAUUCAUGUGGGUCGGAUAAAAUCAGUGAUGAUGAGAAAUAAGAACAUAGAGCAGAAAAGGAGCGUAUAGAUGGAAAGUUCCUUUUGAGUAGUCACCGUCCAACCCCACAGACUCAUAAAAAUCAUUUAAUGGGUGUCACUCUCCAACCUACCCAGCAAAUAUAAGAACCACUCAAACCAUAUUAAGAUUCUGUUUCUAAAAAUACAAAAGGAUGAUGUCGAGAGUGUGAUUUUGGGAGAAUAUUUUUGCAUGCAUGCUACCAAUUAUUUAGUUUCUAAAUUUAGUCUCUAAAACCUUGGUUGCUAAUUAGAGACCAAUUUAGAAACUAUUUAACAAUAAUAGAAAAUAAUAUAAACUAAUUUAGAAACCAAUUUUUGUUUUAGUUUCCAAAAUGGUCUCUAAUUUAGUUACUAUUGCAACUAUUUAUUUUGGUCACUAAAAAUUGGUUUCUAUUUCAUGAUUUUCUUUGUAGUGGUAAGAGUUGUAGAUUUUUAUUUUUUUUUGAAUUUAUCUUUUAAAUGGAUUAAACUAUAUUAAGUACAAUAGCAAAAUGACGUAAAUGAAAAUAAAGGGUCAAAUUUCACCAGACGUGAAAUAAAGUGUUACUGAAUUAUAAAUUUAUUCUUUUAUCUUUCUAUUUAUAUUGAUUUGAUCUUUUAUUUUUGAAAUAAUUAUUUUCAUAUCAAUAUAUAUUAAGUAUUAAAAUAAAUAAAUAUUGAAUCGUUUUAGCUAACAACAAGUCUCUAGAUUAAAAUAUAAUAACAAAAUUAUAAUCACAUAAAUAUACAUUAAAAUAAUCUCACGACCAUCACACAACUCACAAAUUUCAAUAAACUUCUCUCACAAAUCUACUUUAAGAUGCUAUAAUCUUAACGCAUUCAUUUUCUUCACACUUUGCUAUCAAAUCCUCACACUUUCACUCAUCAAUCCAAACACAGCCUACGUGAAAUUGCAUUAGGCCCAGCUAAUUUGUGUUUUAAAGACUAUUUCCAUUUUAAAGUUAUGUCUCACAGUGAAAUCUCAUUUUAACUAAUUUCUAUUUUUUAUUAAUUAGAAAAUUGUUUGUCAUUCUAGUAAUAUUACAUAAAUAUUUUUUUUCUUUAUAGUUUGUAUUUUUUUUUAAAUGCUACUUCAUACAGGGUUUCUGAAAAUAUCAGUUUCUAAUGUUAAAAUUUAGUUAAAUAAAUUAGUGAAAAUUUAUAUAUUUAUAAAUAUGGUAAACAAUUCUGGAGUUAACUAAACAAAAUACACAUCACACAACUUCCUUUUCACCUUAAUUACUUGUUUUUUUUUUUUUAUCGGCAAUACCUUAAUUACUUGUAGGUUGUGUUAAUAUCGGGUAGGGAAUUUGAGGGAGUGAAUUUGGAGUGAUUUGAGAGAAAAACCAGAAGAAAGUGAUGUUCUUUAGAUUAAUGUAUGUUUGAGUGAAUUUGUGAGGAAAAAUUUAUCCGUAAGUGAUAUGAUUAUUUGAAUAUUUAUUUUCUUGCUUAAGGGAUAAUGGAUGUUAGAUAUUUGCUUUAUUAGAUAUGUUAUUUAUAACAUACAUGUAGAAAAUAUAGUAAACUAUUUCUCAUUUUGAGAAAAUAACUAUAUUUAUUGGGAUUUUUUUUUUUUACUUAAAUGUGAGUUUUUUAUUUGAAAUGUCAUGCAAACUACAUAAAUUGUUUUUACAUCUAUUUAAGUUUUAUUUCACACAUAACACUAAUAAACAUAUUACUCUAUGACAUAAUUAACAUUAUUCAUAAAUUUUGGUUAAGAAUAUGUUAUUGUAUAAACCGAAAAGGUCUUCUCCAUGUCGUUUAAAUUUUUGGGAUCUUCGACUUCAACACCUAACUUGUCUCGAUACUAGGUCUCUUCUCAGAAAAAGGAAUGGUAUCAGCAAAAGGUCAUCGGAUGCUAAAGUUAAUAAUAAAUGUCACAAAACACGUAUCUUUUGUCUUGGUCCUGACCGUGUAUUUAAAGGGUCAAAGUGGGUUUAUGUGUUGGUGAGCCCGAUUUAUCAUAACUUACCAAGUUAAUCUUAUGAUUAUGAGAGAUUUCGUACACAUGAGUUAUGUUUAAUUAGUUACCUUAGACCGUGGUUAAUCUUGGAUCAUCAGGAUAUGUUAAACUUUUGGAGGGUUCGGUCAUGGUUGGCCUUAUAGUACAUAAUCCCAAUAAAUCAACUCCUCAAAAUUUAAUCACCAAAAUAAAUUUUUGCGCUCACAAAAAUUCAAACAAACAAAGCUAGCAAGAAAUCAAAUAACUAAAAGAGUUCCGUAAUUAUACACCAAUAAUUAUACUUUUUGAAUAAUAAUUCAAGUUUGAGUCCUAAGUCUUAUGUUCAGUCCUUUUAUGUUGUUUCAUAUAUACUAUCUGGAUGAUAUAAAUAUAUAUUAGGUUUUUCUCUAGUGUAAUUAACCUCUAGCAUAACAUAGGAUGAAGGUUUAAAUUAAUAACAGAAGUAAUAAUAACGCCAUGUAUUGACAAUAUUUCUUUCCAUUUCAAAUUAAUAAUAUGACAAUAAGUACAUAUUUUUCAAUGGAAAGGCAAAAAUAUUUAGAUAAAAUAAUGAAAGCAAAAUGUCUUUGCCCAUUAGAGGGUAAAACAAAAGACUACAUCAAUAUACUCAAUUGAAUAGUUUGAAAAACAUACAUGCAGUGAAAGCCAAUGUAGUAGACUUGAUAGAAACAAAAGUUGGCAUUCGACCCUUAUCCUUCCUCACAAAAAUGGCUUGGUAUAAGGGAAUAUUGAUGACAACUAAGAAUCCACACAAAAGAACUUGUAAUGUCAUUUUCUCAGCAGCAAAGGUACCUUUGUGAAGGACCAAUUCCUUUGAAGUUAGAAGCAAGCAAAACAAAUUGAGUAAUGCAAGUGUUGCUAGAACCGUGAAAUAAGGAGAAGAUGUUCCAAACUCCAUGACUCUUUUCUUGUAACGCUGAGCAACAUCAUCAUCAAUGACCUUUGAUGUGAGUGAAAAUGAUGAAUUUGGACGUCCAAAGAACCCUAGGAUACCGUCUAUUAAGGAAAAAAGAAAGGAACUUGUUUUCACGUAUAACCAUAUUCUUGUACCAUUCCACCAACCUUGGAUUGAUCCUCCCAUACUCAAACCCUCAAUCAAGCUAUAAGCAAUUUCCCCAACAAUUACACAUGCGAAAGGUAUAAACCAUACGCUAGAAAUCUGUUGAACCAAAACAUUAAGUACAAAAUGUUAACAACAUUAAAGAAUCAUAUAAAAACAUAACAUGUUUAUGAUUUAUGCAUUUAGUUCACUCAUGAUAUUUUUCAUCUCAAUUUCUCAUUCAUAUAAUUAGUAAAUUAAAAACAAAUAUAAAAAUAUAAUUAGACGAAUAUAAGUCCUAAGUAUCAAAAUAUUUUUGAAGAAAUAUACUCAACUUUCGAUUUCAUUAAUAUACGCAAUUGGUAACAUGGCACAAAAUUCCAUUUCAAAGUAGAAAUUCAAAGUUAAAACUAACAUACCAGAAAAAUUGAUGAAAAUAAUAAUUUGAGGAAAAGUUCAUAAAUUAAAAAACAAACUAGCUUAUUAAAAUCCAAUUAAAUAAAAAUGCCUCUAAAACCCCACUAAUUAUAUAUCAGCUUAAGUGGCAAAGAUUUGGUUUAACAUUGAGUAUAAAGUCAAACAAUAAAAGAAGAAAACUUUCUACGAUUCAACUUUUACCUAAUUAUAAAUUUUGAGUAGUUUACAAUGUGAAUUUGUGUUUGAUAAGGAGUUUCAAAAAAGAAAAUGUUUCAAAAGUUGUGAUUGUUUUGUGAGAAAAAAUGAUAUUACCUUUGGAAAGAAGGAAACACCCUUAAGGAGAUAAAGUGAAGGGAUGAUGGAGUAAUAUAGUACUGACAAUGAAGUGAUGGCAAAGAAGUUGUAGUGUCCAUAUCCCAAUAGUAAGCCUAGGUUGAUCUUUUCAUCACCAUACCAUUUAGGUCUGAACUCAGAAAGUAAAAGUUGCACUUGACCUUCACCCCAUCUCUUCAUUUGAACUAGUGUGUGAAGUAAGUUCGUUGGAGCAAUGCCAGAAAAAGCACUUAUUGAUGGGUUGUAGUAUACUGAUUUCCAUCCAUGUGACUGUAUUUGCAACCCUGUUAUCACAUCCUCCACAAGACAUCCAUAUACUGAACCAAUCUACAAAAAAAUAAUCAUUUAUUGUACUUUAAUAAAUGCUCAAUAUUAUUGACUAUGAUUAUGAAUGUGACUAUGAAACUGUAAAAGAGAUUAGUAAACCACCUUUUUCCCCCAUAAGGUAUUUUUCUCAUAACUGCAAUUUGCUAAAGCCUUUGAUUCUUCUUCUAGUUCAUGCAAGUUUACUUGAGUCACCUCAUUCUCAUUCUCAUCAUUCCAAUCAUUUUUGUAUUCACGACUAAACUUCUUCCUAUAGAAAGCAUCUCUUCUAAGAUAGCAACAAGUUCCAAUAAAAAUAGGGCCACCAAAACCAUCAGCACCAUGGAGUUCUACCUUCAAAGUGAUCAAUAGAGUGUGAAAUUAUUUUUAGAUAAACAUAUCAAUAUUUAUCAUAAUAGCAAUGUUAUCUAUGUCUAAAGUAAGAAAAUUACUACAAAUAUAUUUUCACAAAAAUUAUGUACAUUUAAGAAAGACACGUGUCAUCUUAGAGAUAAAAAAAAUUAAUAUAGAAAUAUGGACAGGUAGAUGAAAAAAUCUAUUACAUCAAUAAUUUAACUAACUCACCUCCACAAUUUCUGAUAGAGAAUUGCCGUAAAGAUCAUUUUUUCCAAUGUUAUCAAAAGAUUGUGGAAAUUGCACAUAAGCAAUUUCUUGGCCUUUAUCUUCAUCCAUGAAAAAACAUAGAGUAUCUCUCACUGAUUGUGAAUGGGUGGAGUACAUGUCACAAUCUAGAAUUAGAAUGAUUUUCCCAUUGCUAAUCGAUGAAGACACUCUUAGCUACAUCAAUGUAAAGAAAUAUAAUGUCAUGUUCAAUGCACCUCGAUCGAAUAAUAUUUCGUGAAAGAUUACUAACCACGCCAUGUAGAGAUUUAUAUAAAUAAUUUAUCGUAUUUUAUUUCAAUUAAAAUUUGAAAAUUUUGUUUAUGAGAUAUUAGAAGAAUAAGUCACAAGGUUAUUUAAAACUCUUUAUAAUAUAUAUAGAGAGAUAGCUAGAUAGAAAUAAUAACAUAUAUAUUAAUUUAUUGCUAUCUACUUUAUUGGGAUGUGAUUCUCCAUCCAAAUUUUGUUGUAAGGAGAGUGAAGGGUUGUAAUUAUGUAUGGUACCAAUGAAUUUAUAGCUCCGGCUUUGAAGUGGGUGUGAUAUUGAGGUCUCUUUUCACGAGCCAUAUACACUAAGGUUGGCAAAAUACACCC